rnacentral:rRNA from 1 species
GAUGGACGCUGGCGGCGUGCCUAAUACAUGCAAGUCGAGCGAACAGAUGAGGAGCUUGCUCCUCUGACGUUAGCGGCGGACGGGUGAGUAACACGUGGAUAACCUACCUAUAAGACUGGGAUAACUUCGGGAAACCGGAGCUAAUACCGGAUAAUAUAUUGAACCGCAUGGUUCAAUAGUGAAAGACGGUUUUGCUGUCACUUAUAGAUGGAUCCGCGCCGCAUUAGCUAGUUGGUAAGGUAACGGCUUACCAAGGCAACGAUGCGUAGCCGACCUGAGAGGGUGAUCGGCCACACUGGAACUGAGACACGGUCCAGACUCCUACGGGAGGCAGCAGUAGGGAAUCUUCCGCAAUGGGCGAAAGCCUGACGGAGCAACGCCGCGUGAGUGAUGAAGGUCUUCGGAUCGUAAAACUCUGUUAUUAGGGAAGAACAAAUGUGCAAGUAACUAUGCACGUCUUGACGGUACCUAAUCAGAAAGCCACGGCUAACUACGUG